rnacentral:rRNA from 1 species
CGAACUCUGGUAUUGAUUGGUGCUUGCAUCAUGAUUUACAUUUGAGUGAGUGGCGAACUGGUGAGUAACACGUGGGAAACCUGCCCAGAAGCGGGGGAUAACACCUGGAAACAGAUGCUAAUACCGCAUAACAACUUGGACCGCAUGGUCCGAGUUUGAAAGAUGGCUUCGGCUAUCACUUUUGGAUGGUCCCGCGGCGUAUUAGCUAGAUGGUGAGGUAACGGCUCACCAUGGCAAUGAUACGUAGCCGACCUGAGAGGGUAAUCGGCCACAUUGGGACUGAGACACGGCCCAAACUCAUACGGGAGGCAGCAGUAGGGAAUCUUCCACAAUGGACGAAAGUCUGAUGGAGCAACGCCGCGUGAGUGAAGAAGGGUUUCGGCUCGUAAAACUCUGUUGUUAAAGAAGAACAUAUCUGAGAGUAACUGUUCAGGUAUUGACGGUAUUUAACCAGAAAGCCACGGCUAACUACGUGCCAGCAGCCGCGGUAAUACGUAGGUGGCAAGCGUUGUCCGGAUUUAUUGGGCGUAAAGCGAGCGCAGGCGGUUUUUUAAGUCUGAUGUGAAAGCCUUCGGCUCAACCGAAGAAGUGCAUCGGAAACUGGGAAACUUGAGUGCAGAAGAGGACAGUGGAACUCCAUGUGUAGCGGUGAAAUGCGUAGAUAUAUGGAAGAACACCAGUGGCGAAGGCGGCUGUCUGGUCUGUAACUGACGCUGAGGCUCGAAAGUAUGGGUAGCAAACAGGAUUAGAUACCCUGGUAGUCCAUACCGUAAACGAUGAAUGCUAAGUGUUGGAGGGUUUCCGCCCUUCAGUGCUGCAGCUAACGCAUUAAGCAUUCCGCCUGG